GUAAUAAUAUUUCCUUCCUUUCUGUCUUACAGGAUUGCUUGCAGAUAAUGCUGUUCUUCUUUUUCAGGUCUACAACAUCGAGCUCAACAGAUCUUUUAAGAGCCAACCCUCACAAACCUUGCUCUCAGCGAAUCUUGCCAUGAUCAGCCCUUUCCAGAAGAGAAGAUCAAGGAAAUUAUUUGUUCAGGAUGAGGAAUGAAGACGGCCAUCUUGUGCCCAAACGAAGACAGAAAGCUGUCCACUGAUGAUCUCAUCAGCCAAAUGAGGGGUUUUGACCAAGUGAUGGUCUUGAAAGGAAUGAAAGAAGAGGAUGUGGUAAAUUGUCUUCAAAGAAAAAGCUUCUCAAAAGGUCUUAAAACAGCUUGAAGAAUGGUCUGGGAACUGUCUGAAAAUGGGAUGUUAGGACUGAGAGAUCCUCUGGCUGAGAAAAAGCUACACCAGAUCAGUGCUGGAUAUCAACCACACACUGUUUACAGACACGAGAAGAUCACGAUGGGGAAAUGAAACCAGUUUAGAUGUGAUGAUAAGGAAUCAUUAUUUUCUGAAACAGUAUCACAUGUCUUAUAUGUAUCACAUGAUCUGUAUCACAGUUGCCUGGAUGGGAUUGUGUGACUUUUAAGGACAUUUCAUUACUCAUCUGUGUGAACUGAUUA